GACGAACGCUGGCGGCGUGCUUAACACAUGCAAGUCGAACGGUGAAGCGCCUUCCUUUUUGGAGGGUGUGGAUGAGUGGCGAACGGGUGAGUAACACGUGAGUAACCUGCCCCCUUCUUCUGGAUAACCGCAUGAAAGUGUGGCUAAUACGGGAUAUUCUGGGUCUGUCGCAUGACGGGUCUGGGACAGAUAUUGUUUCGGUGGGGGAUGGGCUCGCGGCCUAUCAGCUCGUUGGUGGGGUGAUGGCCUACCAAGGCGGUGACGGGUAGCCGGCCUGAGAGGGUAGGCGGACAGAAUGGGGCUGAGAGACGGCCGAGACUCCUACGGGAGGCAGCGGUGGGGAAUAUGGCACAAUGGGCGCAAGCCUGAUGCAGCGACGCCGCGUGAGGGAUGGAGGCCUUCGGGUUGUGAACCUCUUUCGCCAGUGAAGCAGGCCUGCCUCGUUUGUGGGUGGAUUGACGGUAGCUGGAUAAGAAGCGCCGGCUAACUACGUG
rnacentral:rRNA from 1 species